UACGGGGGGAGCAAGCGUUGUUCGGAUUUACUGGGCGUAAAGGGCGCGUAGGCGGCCGUGCAAGUCAGUUGUGAAAUCUCCGGGCUUAACUCGGAACGGUCAACUGAUACUGCUCGGCUAGAGUGCGGAAGGGGCAACUGGAAUUCUUGGUGUAGCGGUGAAAUGCGUAGAUAUCAAGAGGAACACCUGCGGCGAAGGCGGGUUGCUGGGCCGACACUGACGCUGAAGCGCGAAAGCCAGGGGAGCGAACGGG
rnacentral:rRNA from 1 species